rnacentral:rRNA from 1 species
AUUGAACGCUGGCGGCAUGCCUUACACAUGCAAGUCGAACGGUAACAGGUCUUCGGAUGCUGACGAGUGGCGAACGGGUGAGUAAUACAUCGGAACGUGCCCGAUCGUGGGGGAUAACGGAGCGAAAGCUUUGCUAAUACCGCAUACGAUCUACGGAUGAAAGCGGGGGAUCGCAAGACCUCGCGCGAGUGGAGCGGCCGAUGUCAGAUUAGGUAGUUGGUGGGGUAAAGGCUCACCAAGCCAACGAUCUGUAGCCGGUCUGAGAGGACGACCAGCCACACUGGAACUGAGACACGGUCCAGACUCCUACGGGAGGCAGCAGUGGGGAAUUUUGGACAAUGGGCGCAAGCCUGAUCCAGCCAUUCCGCGUGCAGGAUGAAGGCCUUCGGGUUGUAAACUGCUUUUGUACGGAACGAAACGGCGAGCUCUAAUACAGUUUGCUAAUGACGGUACCGUAAGAAUAAGCACCGGCUAACUACGUG